rnacentral:rRNA from 1 species
UACGUAGGGUGCGAGCGUUAAUCGGAAUUACUGGGCGUAAAGGGUGCGUAGGCGGAUUAUCAAGUUAGAUGUGAAAUACCUGGGCUUAACCUAGGGCUUGCAUUUAAGACUGUUAGUCUAGAGUAUAUCAGAGGGGGGUAGAAUUCCAGGUGUAGCAGUGAAAUGCGUAGAGAUUUGGAGGAAUACCGAAGGCGAAGGCAGCCCCCUGGGAAGAUACUGACGCUGAGGCACGAAAGCGUGGGGAGCAAACAGG